rnacentral:lncRNA from 1 species
AUCUCAGACAAGCCAAUUCUUUCAGCACACCCCAAAGAAAAAUGCAGACCGUGCUUUCAGAACAGCAGGCGCCACUAACAAACACUGAUGCCACUUCUCACAAGAGACAAGGAAGAUGACAAUCAUGAGGGUGAUGUUCCAGUCUUCUGCUGUGCCAGUGGCCAACACUCAGGAGCAGUAGUCAGAGUUUACAGUAAAGAAAAAGAGGACAGCAUAACAGAGCAGUUGGAGUAUGUCUACAUUCUAUCAAGGUCACUUUCAGCCCAGAAAUCCAGUGAAACACAUUUGUUCAACACUGAAGUAAAAGUACUUUCUCACUGUGUGAUGACAGGCACAUGUAAACCACUGUCCUUGCAACUGUUAUUUUUUAUCCUGCCUGCUACUCUUCACCUGCUCUCCUGGGUAUUUCUUGCUCUGUUCCUUGCUCCUUUAACCGCAAGUAUUUGAGCUGUUUAGAUUCUGUUAGAAUACAUAUAGCCCAUAGAACUUCAUACAGUCCUAUUGUUCAUACAUGUCUAGGCAAAUAUGAAACAUAUUUUCUUUCCCUUUUUCAUCUUUCCCGGUUUUAACAUUUUUCCCCAUUUAUUGGGCACACUUGUCAACGCUGGUUAACCCAGGUUUCAGUGCACAGUUACAAUAUGUACACUACAAUGCGCCAUAUAUUGUAUAUAAUAUGAUUAUCUUGCAUAACUUGACUUAUUUUUAAACAGAAGUGCCUCCCAAGCACACAGGAACAGAGUGAGAAGUGUUGCUUCUUGAGAAAGUCAGAGUCUGGCCUAUUGGCUGCCUGCUGUGAACAGAGUGAUGAUAGGUCAUGUUCAUUCCAUGACUGGAACUGGAAGUGAUCUCAGUCUGCUUUUCAGAGAGAAAAGAAUUCUCUAGAAAGAUCAGGGUUCAAAUACAUUCUAGUUACAAUACAAAAAGAUGUAGCUCUACCACAAAAGCUAACUAAUUCAUUUAAUUUGCAUCUUCUUCUCUCCACCCCCCUUCUCCCUUCCCCAUCUUUUCUUUUUUUUACCAGAAGAACAAGGUGUAAGUUCGUUUAAGAACUGAACUUAUGAGCAGGGUAUUUAUUGAACCACUAGUACAUCAGAAGUAGCAAAAAUAACCCCUGUUAUUUAAAAGAAUGAGCCACUUGUGCUUAAC